UACGGAAGGUGCAAGCGUUAUCCGGAUUCACUGGGUUUAAAGGGUGCGUAGGUGGGAAUGUAAGUCAGUGGUGAAAUCUCCGUGCUUAACACGGAAACUGCCAUUGAUACUAUGUUUCUUGAAUUAUCUGGAGGUCAGCGGAAUAUGUCAUGUAGCGGUGAAAUGCUUAGAUAUGACAUAGAACACCAAUUGCGAAGGCAGCUGGCUACAGGUGGAUUGACACUGAGGCACGAAAGCGUGGGGAUCAAACAGG
rnacentral:rRNA from 1 species